ACACAGCAACAUGAGGAUGGACGUGAGAAUUAAAGACACAGUUAUUUGUAAAACUAAGACAGAUGAGGAUUUGAAAGGAGAGGCUGCCGUAUGGGAGGACCAUAUUCUCUGACAAUAUAAAUAUAAUCUGAUUGUAACAAAGGGAGGAUGGGAGUGUCCUAUGUUAACACACUUGUUAGAUGUCUUUUUUCUCUUUCUUUCUUUCUUUCUUUUUCUUUUCUUUUUUUUUUUUUGAGACAGGGUCUUGCUAUGUAGUUCAGGCUGUCCUUGGCCCUGAGCCCACUAUGCACCCCAGGCUGGCCUUGCACUCAGAGUGAUAUCCUGCCUCAGCCUCCCAAGUGCUGGGCUUAUACGCAUGUGUCACCAGGCCCAGCCUUGUUAAGUGUUUUUAGUCAUAACUAACCUAGUAGUGCUCGUGUUGUUGUCCUGAGACUGUAGGACUCAGGGAGGACUCCCUUCUGAAGUUCCCUAGGUCUUUGAGGAGCAGGAUUCUCGGUGUAGAGGGAAGGAGACACAGAUGGGCCACAGAAGUGGUUAAUAAAAAUCCUGUUGUUCUCAAUCUGAACUGGACAUUCUCUGUGGAGCCAAGAUGGACAGAUGGACAGCUGUAUCCAUCUGGUUUUUGCCGUUGAGCACACGACUCCACAGACCACAGGAGCUCGGAGAAAACAUGCAUGCCCAGCAACAGCCUCCCCUACCCAGCUGGCUGAUGCCUAACAAAGCACUGCAGUCCUCUCAAGACUGGAUCCCUGCUAACACGUUAUGGGGAAGCCUGGCUCCCUGAUUCGAGGCUCCGAGACCCCUGAGAUUUCUUUCUGGGCUCCUCCUCCAGCCUCAGCCCUGCAGGCAGCACUGCCCGGAAGCUGAGCCAAGCAAUCUUUGUAUUUACCCUCUUGGCACAACAAAUGGCAAGGUGCAUGCAUGUGUGUCAAAUGUAAAUGGGUGAGUUUUACCCCAGUUAGGUGUCAUGUUAUAUUUUUGUGUAUUUGUAAUUUGUUUUAUUAAAUGUUUUCUUUUGAUUUUUUCAUAUAGAAUUGGCCCAAUUCAGUAUAAUAUCACAUGAAGAUUCGCUUUUACAACUUUGGGAGGAGGAUGAAAGUGUGUGAUCAGGUGACACUGCUACCGAUGAUGACUUGGAUCAUGUGAGCCAAAGACGUUAGCAAGACAUGACAGAUGGAGAUGUACAGAUUGAAGACCUCGAUUCAGAUAUGACUGGGAGAAACCUCAGCCCUUUUCUAUAAAAAAUAUAAACAGGAGAGUAUCUCCAUCUUAAACUCUAGUUCACUCUUGGCUGCAACUCCCCUGCCACCUUUUUAUGUUUGAGCACACUGAGUUAUGAAAAUGUUUGGUCAGUUUGGAUUUUGGGAACAUAGCUGACAGCCAAAGAUAACUUAUCAACAUCCAGGGACUUUCCAUCCCCCAUACCUCCAGUCUUCCUUCCCUUAUCAACCCUGCCCAGAAACCCUUCAGGUCUUCUCUUCAUGCCCCUUAAACUACCCAAUCAGGUCAGAUUCUGAAACUUCAACUCAACCAAUGGGGGAACAGGUCAGCUACUCCUCACUUGUUAGGGAUAAAAGGAGCCUGCUACAGCCUUCCUAUGUGCCUGCUACUUCAUGCUAGAGUGUGCUUGCACCCUUCUGCAGAAGUAAAAACUUGCCCUAUCGAGAUUUUUUGAUGUCUGAGUGCUUUAUUUUCUGCACUGACAAAUUGAAUCUGGGGGCAUAUUCCCAACAAGAAGAAAACAGUAGUGUAAAUAAAUAUUUGAUUAGUCAAAAUGCUACAAAAUGUUCACGUUAGAACUAGGUUGGAAAUGUUAC
rnacentral:lncRNA from 1 species